UGGGGAAUAUUGCACGAUGGGCGCAAGCCUGAUGCAGCAACGCCGCGUGAGGGAAGACGGUCUUCGGAUUGUAAACCUUUGUCUUUGGUGAAGAAGAAAGUGACGGUAGCCAAGGAGGAAGCCACGGCUAACUACGUGCCAGCAGCCGCGGUAAUACGUAGGUGGCAAGCGUUGUCCGGAAUUACUGGGUGUAAAGGGAGUGUAGGCGGGAAUGCAAGUCAGAAGUGAAAACUAUGGGCUUAACCCAUAGCCUGCUUUUGAAACUGUAUUUCUUGAGUGAAGCAGAGGCAAGCGGAAUUCCUAGUGUAGCGGUGAAAUGCGUAGAUAUUAGGAGGAACACCAGUGGCGAAGGCGGCUUGCUGGGCUUUUACUGACGCUGAGGCUCGAAAGCGUGGGGAGCAAACAGGAUUAGAUACCCUGGUAGU
rnacentral:rRNA from 1 species